rnacentral:piRNA from 1 species
AAUAGGGUGACCAGGAAGUGCGAACU